GAAUAGCCCGCACUGGUGCUAGCUCUGGCUCUACCUCAGGAUCUGCUUUCUAAGGAGAAUUGCACUAUGAAGCAUACCAAAAGAAGUCCUCUGGUGUAAGAAAAACAACACAAAUGGUAAUUUACCUACACUGGAAGAAAUGAAGAGUGUCAGAAAUGAAAACCAUGAUAAAAGCUCUUAUCGGCUGGGUACAGUGGCUCACACCUGUAAUCCUAGCACUUUGGAGGCUGAGCUUUCUUGAUCUGCAGAAACUAUAAAACUGACCCAAUCGAUAUGGAUAUUGCCUCACCAGCAAAGCAGCAGUCUCACAUAUCCUUUCCUGAAGUUAUAAUCCAAGACUGAAUUCAGGUAAAGAUGAUAAUACCUUUCCUUAUUGAAAAGACAUAGUUAGACUUGUUGCUGCUAUUUUGGACAUCCUCAUAAAGAAAAACAGUCAACUACAGGGAUUGGAUGGGAGCAGAAUAAUCCAACACCACCAUUUUCAGCAGCAAGAAUGAAAAGAAUGGACAUACAAAUAAUCACAUUUGCCUACCACUUCUGUGAUUUGCUGACCUUAGCAGAAUACAAAAACUAGAUGAUUGGAACUCCUCAAGGCUACAAACCAAAGGUAAAAUUGGACUCAUGAGCUGACCUUUACCAUCAGACAUUCUUUUAUUUGAAGAUGAUAACAGACUUUCCUUGUGGUGGAAGUUGCAUGCCAUGAGUGCCCUCUCUUGCGUCAGUAUACGAGAGUGUAAAGUGAAGAGAGCAAGCAGGGAGUAGGAGGACUUGGCUCUUAGGACAACAGAAGACGAAGCUGCAUUGCGGGUUAUUAGCCUCAGAAUGUUCUUGGAUUACAUAUAAUAAAGUUAAUCUCUUGCUGACAUUUAGCCUGUCUCUUUGUGGCCAAAAUAAUAAAAACCACUCUACAAAGAAUUAGAGAAAACAAUUGUUAAAACUAUAAAGAAAGGUCUCCAGUAAAUAUAGCAUCUAACUUCCUAUAAAUCUCUUUCCAGAAAAGAUUCAAGCAAUACUAUGGAGAACAUAUUAAACAAACAAAGAACUGCUGUUCAAAAAUACUUUUCUUUUCUUUCUUUUUUUUUUUUUUUUUUUGAGACGGAGGCUCACUCUGUCAUACAAGCUGGAGUACAAUGGCAUGAUUUCAGCUUACUGCAACCUCU